rnacentral:rRNA from 1 species
GGCUACCAUGCAGUCGAGGGGCAGCAUGGUCUUAGCUUGCUAAGGCCGAUGGCGACCGGCGCACGGGUGAGUAACACGUAUCCAACCUGCCGUCUACUCUUGGACAGCCUUCUGAAAGGAAGAUUAAUACAAGAUGGCAUCAUGAGUCCGCAUGUUCACAUGAUUAAAGGUAUUCCGGUAGACGAUGGGGAUGCGUUCCAUUAGAUAGUAGGCGGGGUAACGGCCCACCUAGUCUUCGAUGGAUAGGGGUUCUGAGAGGAAGGUCCCCCACAUUGGAACUGAGACACGGUCCAAACUCCUACGGGAGGCAGCAGUGAGGAAUAUUGGUCAAUGGGCGAGAGCCUGAACCAGCCAAGUAGCGUGAAGGAUGACUGCCCUAUGGGUUGUAAACUUCUUUUAUAAAGGAAUAAAGUCGGGUAUGNAUACCCGUUUGCAUGUNCUUUAUGAAUAAGGAUCGGCUAACUCCGUGCCAGCAGCCGCGGUAAUACGGAGGAUCCGAGCGUUAUCCGGAUUUAUUGGGUUUAAAGGGAGCGUAGAUGGAUGUUUAAGUCAGUUGUGAAAGUUUGCGGCUCAACCGUAAAAUUGCAGUUGAUACUGGAUAUCUUGAGUGCAGUUGAGGCAGGCGGAAUUCGUGGUGUAGCGGUGAAAUGCUUAGAUAUCACGAAGAACUCCGAUUGCGAAGGCAGCCUGCUAAGCUGCAACUGACAUUGAGGCUCGAAAGUGUGGGUAUCAAACAGGAUUAGAUACCCUGGUAGUCCACACGGUAAACGAUGAAUACUCGCUGUUUGCGAUAUACGGCAAGCGGCCAAGCGAAAGCGUUAAGUAUUCCACCUGGGGAAGUACGCCGGCAACGGUGAAACUCAAAGGAAUUGACGGGGGCCCGCACAAGCGAAGGAACAUGUGGGUUAAUUCGAUGAUACGCGAGGAACCUUACCCGGGCUUAAAUUGCAGAUGAAUUACGGUGAAAGCCGUAAGCCGCAAGGCAUCUGUGAAGGUGCUGCAUGGUUGUCGUCAGCUCGUGCCGUGAGGUGUCGGCUUAAGUGCCAUAACGAGCGCAACCCUUGUUGUCAGUUACUAACAGGUUCCGCUGAGGACUCUGACAAGACUGCCAUCGUAAGAUGUGAGGAAGGUGGGGAUGACGUCAAAUCAGCACGGCCCUUACGUCCGGGGCUACACACGUGUUACAAUGGGGGGUACAGAGGGCCGCUACCACGCGAGUGGAUGCCAAUCCCAAAAACCUCUCUCAGUUCGGACUGGAGUCUGCAACCCGACUCCACGAAGCUGGAUUCGCUAGUAAUCGCGCAUCAGCCACGGCGCGGUGAAUACGUUCCCGGGCCUUGUACACACCGCCCGUCAAGCCAUGGGAGCCGGGGGUACCUGAAGUGCGUAACCGCGAGGAGCGCCUNGGNAAUUG